GAGAAUGUGUCUGGAUCUACUGAUGGUCUGGUUGACAGCGCUGGCACUGGGGACCUCUCUUAUGGUUACCAGGGUGAGUGGGCCAGGCUGGGAGGGGCUGUGUGGUACAGGCUGGUGUUGUCUGGGUAAAAUGUCACGGUGGGCGGUUGCGUCUUCUGCCAGAUGCUGGAACCUGGGAAGGGCCUGCUGUUUUCCUAACCCGUCUCUUCCCUCAUCCCCUCCUCCUUGGCCCCAGUUCCCUGGUAACUUUCCCUUUCCUUUGAAGGGCACGACCAGUUCAAGCGGCGCCUCCCCUCUGGCCAGAUGCGGCAGCUGUGCCUUCCCAUGGGUAGACCUGGGGUGGGGGUAGGGCUGUUUUGCCAAUCAGUGCCUGCCGGCUCCAGUUGACUGCCGGCUCCGGGGCCAGAAAGAUUCUAUGUGCAUGGCUUCCCCAUGUAAUUCCAGUAAUUGCCCGCUCUUGUGUCUUCUGAGAUAGCAGCAGCGCACAGGCUCCUUUGGCUGGCGGGCUGGCGCCUCUCCUCCCUCCAGGCUGGACGUUCUAGUUUAUCGUCUGCGUUGCCAGUGCCCUCACUCCCUGGCCUGCUAGGGGAGGGCUCACAGGCAUGGAGGUCACAUUCUGGCCUCUGGAUAAAGGAGAAAUACUCUUUCUGCACCCCAGGCCCACUGGGUCUUUAACCCAGUGGCAGCCAAGGCAGUGUCUUCUCAGAACCCACAGGGCUGGGCACCCUUGAAUCAGCAUGACUUGCCGAGUUCAAUCCUGUUGUUUGUGUCUGCUGCCUGGGGUCUGCUCAGUGUCCUGGCCUGGGAGGCCCUAGCCCAUGAGGGGUGCCAGGAACAGAGCAAAGCUAGAGCGGCCCCUGUGUGGUGGCCUUUUCUAGAGUCUACCAUCAUCCCCCAGGACUUAGGAGCACCUGAUGUCUCCUCCCAGCUCCUGAGCCCACCUCCACCCCAACUCUGAGCCCUAGCCCACAAUUUGCCUCUUCCCUACUGCUUAAUAAUUGUUAUAAUUGCCUCAGAUGGGUGAGGGCCACUGUGGGUUUUGUGUCCACCAGUGCAACCCCUCCCUCCCUGCCCUUUCUAGGCCGCUCCUUUGAACCUGUGGGUACUCGGCCCCGAGUGGACUCUAUGAGCUCUGUGGAGGAGGAUGACUACGACACAUUGACCGACAUCGAUUCCGACAAGAAUGUCAUUCGUACCAAGCAAUACCUCUAUGUGGCUGACCUGGCACGGAAGGACAAGCGUGUUCUGCGGAAAAAGUACCAGAUUUACUUCUGGAACAUUGCCACCAUUGCUGUCUUCUAUGCCCUUCCUGUGGUGCAGCUGGUGAUCACCUACCAGACGGUGAGAGGGCGGGGCGGGUUCACCUUUCCCACAGCCUAGGACACCGCCCCAAAGUGCAGAGUCUCCCAGCCUGGGGCCCUGGUGUUCCAUCACAGGACCUGGGUUCAGAUCCCAGCUCUGCCUUCCCAGCCGAGUGACCCAGGGCAAAUCACAUAACCUCCCAGCCCUGAGUGUCAGUUUCUUCAUCUGCAAAAUGGGAGCAGCCCGCAUUAAAGAUAGCCCCUCCCUGCUUUCUUGUGCGGAUUAUGAAACCAAAGUCCUGGGGCUUUGUAAGCAUCAGUUUCCCUUCCCUUUUCUCUGUCCCAUGGGGCAAGAACUUCCAUCACGGUCAUGCCUCAGGGUUUUCAGCCACGCCUAAUGAGAGGGGACAGCGACUGUGCUGCUUGGCAUCCAUGUUCUCAGAAGGAGCACGUGCCUGCGGUGCUGUGUAUUCCCACCUGCUAGCUGUGGUGGCACUUGCUCUUUUUGGCCAAAGGGGCCUGGGUGGCGGGACGUGGGCUGAGUUGAGUGUGACAACAGACCCACUCCCUGUCCCUGCUCCUGCUACAGGUGGUGAAUGUCACAGGGAAUCAGGACAUCUGCUACUACAACUUCCUCUGCGCCCACCCACUGGGCAAUCUCAGCGCCUUCAACAACAUCCUCAGCAACCUGGGGUACAUCCUGCUGGGGCUGCUUUUCCUGCUCAUCAUCCUGCAACGGGAGAUCAACCACAACCGGGCCCUGCUGCGCAACGACCUCUAUGCCCUGGAAUGUGGGAUCCCCAAACACUUUGGACUGUUCUACGCCAUGGGCACAGCCCUGAUGAUGGAGGGGCUGCUCAGUGCUUGCUAUCAUGUGUGCCCCAACUAUACCAAUUUCCAGUUUGACACAUCGUUCAUGUACAUGAUCGCCGGACUCUGCAUGCUGAAGCUCUACCA
rnacentral:sRNA from 1 species